rnacentral:rRNA from 1 species
GACGAACGCUGGCGGCGUGCCUAAUACAUGCAAGUCGAACGCUUUUUCUUUCACCGGAGCUUGCUCCACCGAAAGAAAAAGAGUGGCGAACGGGUGAGUAACACGUGGGUAACCUGCCCAUCAGAAGGGGAUAACACUUGGAAACAGGUGCUAAUACCGUAUAACACUAUUUUCCGCAUGGAAGAAAGUUGAAAGGCGCUUUUGCGUCACUGAUGGAUGGACCCGCGGUGCAUUAGCUAGUUGGUGAGGUAACGGCUCACCAAGGCAACGAUGCAUAGCCGACCUGAGAGGGUGAUCGGCCACACUGGGACUGAGACACGGCCCAGACUCCUACGGGAGGCAGCAGUAGGGAAUCUUCGGCAAUGGACGAAAGUCUGACCGAGCAACGCCGCGUGAGUGAAGAAAGGUUUUCGGAUCGUAAAAACUCUG